CCACGUCAGGCUAGAUCACCCGCUGAGUUUA
rnacentral:rRNA from 2 species